UCCUCCACCUCCUCACCGUCACGACCUAAUCACUUCCAGAUCCUCCACCUCCUCACCAUCACGACCUAAUCACUUCCAGAUCCUCCACCUUGUCACCAAAACGACCUAAUCAAUUCCAGAUCCUCCACCUCCUCACCAUCACGACCUAAUCACUUCCAGAUCCUCCACCUCCUCACCAUCACGACCUAAUCACGUCCAGAGCCUCCACCUCCUCACCAUCAUGACCUAAUCAUUUCCAGAUCCUCCACCUCCUCACCAUCACGACCUAAUCACUUCCAGAUCCUCCACCUCCUCACCAUCACGACCUAAUCACUUCCAGAUCCUCCACCUCCUCACCAUCACGACCUAAUCACUUCCAGAUCCUCCACCUCCUCACCAUCACGACCUAAUCACUUCCCGGAUCCUCCACCUCCUCACCAUCACGACCUAAUCACUUCCCGGAUCCUCCACCUCCUCACCGUCACGACCU
rnacentral:lncRNA from 1 species